AGUGAACGCUGGCGGUAGGCCUAACACAUGCAAGUCGAACGGCAGCACAGCAAGAGCUUGCUCUUACGGGUGGCGAGUGGCGGACGGGUGAGGAAUACAUCGGAAUCUACUUUUUCGUGGGGGAUAACGUAGGGAAACUUACGCUAAUACCGCAUACGACCUACGGGUGAAAGCAGUGGAUCUUCGGACCUUGCGCGAUUGAAUGAGCCGAUGUGGGAUUAGCUAGUUGGCGGGGUAAAGGCCCACCAAGGCGACGAUCCGUAGCUGGUCUGAGAGGAUGAUCAGCCACACUGGAACUGAGACACGGUCCAGACUCCUACGGGAGGCAGCAGUGGGGAAUAUUGGACAAUGGGCGCAAGCCUGAUCCAGCCAUACCGCGUGGGUGAAGAAGGCCUUCGGGUUGUAAAGCCCUUUUGUUGGGAAAGAAAAGCAGCAGGUUAAUACCCCGCUGUUCUGACGGUACCCAAAGAAUAAGCACCGGCUAACUUCGUG
rnacentral:rRNA from 1 species